UUAUCGAUCACAAGCCAUAACCUCCUUUCUUCUGUAAAUACACAUUUUAGAUUCAGAUAAAUCCAGAUGCUGGUUUGUCUUCCCUUUUUCCCUCUGACACUUACGCCACACACACACACACACACACACACACACACACACACACACACACACACACACACACACACACACUCGAGGUUUGCUGUACUGCAUUUAAAAGGAAAAAAAAUCUCAGUCCCCUUCCUACCACAGGACACACUCUCAGAGCUGCUGCUGCCUAAUGGCUCCCUUGUCAGUUUAAAAAAGCUCUGAUGGACACCCUGUUAGGAAGUCACUGACAUUUCAGGUGAGUGAUUCCAAACACUUUCUGCUUCCUUUGACACAGCGCAUCUCCAAAUGGAAGAGCUAAAACACACUUUUCUUCUACCCUGUUGCAACAGAAAAAUUGCCUGUCCCUGCAGUCUGCCGUCCCUAAAGAGGACCAGAGAAGAAGGAAAGAGAGAAAGAAAAAGGAGGAAGGAAAGGAAGGACAAGUAGGAAAAACAAUGACAGCUCAGGGUCAUCUUUGCACCUCUGCUUUGUCUGUACCAAUCUGGCAUCAGACAGGCAGAAAACAAGAUAUUAGGGAUGCAGGUGGCAGAAACAUGCAGAUAAGCAAGCUUUUUUUUUCACCCUUCUCUCUUCAUUAAUUUUCAUAAGUUAUGUCUGUGUUUAGCCCUGGAGGCUUUGUGUGGCAUACCAUACGUUGUGAUGCUGAAUUCCAGUUCAGGUUUCCUAUCCAUGCCUUGUCAUUUUUUGCCUUUAAGUGAACCUCAUUAGCUCAUGGUUUUGAUCUUAGAAGUUAUGUACAUGGUAAGAUUUGGAGCCAAGCUUUAAAAUUCUGAUAACACUAGAGUUUGGACCACAAAUUAAAGUUGCUGUCUGCACAGAGAAGCCACCAGAG